rnacentral:lncRNA from 1 species
ACUUCUAACAAUUAAAGCGUGAUUGGUUAAAAUAGGCUUAAAGAGUUACGGAAUCGAUGAUUCUUUUUUGAGGUGAUUAGGAAUUCUUUUAAUAGCUUAUUUAGUCAUUAGUUUUGUUUCCAAGAAUUACAAGAGAUUACCCUUAAGUAUGACCUUCAGAUACGAGUCACUGGUUUAUCACACCAUCAAUUUACUCUUUUUGGUUUGAAGAGAAAAAUCAUCCAGGUGUGGUGAUUGUAGUUCAUCAU